rnacentral:misc_RNA from 1 species
GCCUUCUUCAAAGCACCUAUAUGCUCUUCAGGUUCACCUCACCUUCAGGCACACCUCUAAGCAUAAUUCUAUUAUGUAUUUCAAAAUCGUAGAUUAUGACAUUCAGAUAAAUCCCAUAUAUUUUAAAAUAUGUUUGCAGCAUUUAUAUGCCUGCUAUCAAAAAAAAAAAAAGAUGACAUAAAUAAAUAACAGGGCUGCAAAAACAUGUCUGGGACUGGUAGCACACUUUUUAAAGACCCAACCACAUCCCCUUAAUGGCAACUACCAAUCUAUAUCAACUCUUUGACCUACAUAAAAGGAAAAAAAAUAAAAACCAAAAUCAUUAUCUUUGAAGAAAAUCCCAGAAAACUUUUUUUUUUUUUUAUUUCAUUCCCUUUUGAGAAUGCAACUGAUUUUCAAGCAGCACUUGAGGGGACACGCUUGCUAAAAUGAUUAAACAUAAAAAAAU